CCUACGGGAGGCUGCAGUGAGGAAUAUUGGUCAAUGGGCGGAAGCCUGAACCAGCCAAGUCGCGUGAGGGAAUACGGCCCUACGGGUCGUAAACCUCUUUUGCCGGGGAGCAAUGGCCGGGACGAGUCCCGGUCCGGAGAGUACCCGGAGAAAAAGCAUCGGCUAACUCCGUGCCAGCAGCCGCGGUAAUACGGAGGAUGCGAGCGUUAUCCGGAUUUAUUGGGUUUAAAGGGUGCGUAGGCGGGAUUUUAAGUCAGCGGUAAAAAUUCGGGGCUCAACCCCGUCCUGCCGUUGAAACUGGUGGCGUUGAGUGGGCGAGAAGAAGGCGGAAUGCGUGGUGUAGCGGUGAAAUGCAUAGAUAUCACGCAGAACCCCGAUUGCGAAGGCAGCCUUCCGGCGCCCUACUGACGCUGAGGCACGAAAGUGCGGGGAUCGAACAGGAUUAGAUACCCGUGUAGUC
rnacentral:rRNA from 1 species